GGCAGUGGGGGCUUAGUGGUUACAGCUCUGGGAAACUAAUCAGAAGUUUGUGGGUUCAAGCCCCAGCACUGCCA